UUAACUAAACAGGUUCACAUUCCAGUGCAGAUGUGUGAACCGUUUCCGGUAGGCGGAUCCCCUGACUGGCCUCCCACACGGGUAAGGACAGCCGUGACAUGCCUCAGCAGCCGUGACCUCAUGGAAAGCAACACGGAGUGGACACUUGUAAAGGGAUUUAGUUGUGGACAGACCAGCCCUCAAACAGCUGACAUUCUCUUGAAAGGAGCAGAUAAAAGCCAAGUAAAAACCAAACAAACAGGAUGGGCCGUGCUCACCGCAUGAGGUGAGAUUUCUUCCCUGAUGUUGGCAGCGAGGAAGGUGUUGUCUUUACUCCAUUCAGAUCGACUGCUCUCAAUUGCUUAAUUGUGAAGAAGAUACUAUUCAUCGAAGACACAGUAGCCUGAAAAAAUCUUGAUUAAUGCUAGUUUGGGAUGCUGAUGGGAGUCUGUACUUGCUUAAGAAAAAAGGAGAUAUAAAACUGAAACAGAUUUAGUCAUAACUGUGCGUUGAAUGCUAUUUUAAACAAGUCUUUAAAAGUCAUUUCAAAAGGAAGACACCAGGUGGAGAUCACUAAAGAGCAUCUUCAAGAUGUGGCGGUCCCAAAGGUGUGCGGAUGAGUUCUGGCUCACUGUGGACGGUGCUGCGUCUGGAUUCUAAACUUGAAAAGCUUAGACGCUUACGUUGAAGAUAUUUGUUCAUAAUUCCAAUAAAAUGUGAGAGCAGAAAAACUGGUUUCAAA